rnacentral:rRNA from 1 species
GGAAAUAAGUAGCAUCUAAUCACGCCAGCAAUAUUAACUAAUGGUGAAAUAUGUCGAUUCGUACCACUAUCAGUGUGAUAAAURAUACUGACAUUAGUGUUAGACAGGGAUUAGAUACCCCUUUAUACAAAUGCUCAUUCAAUGAUGCGGAGUACUACAACUAUCAUAGUUAAAACUUAAUCAGCAUGGCGGUAAUUUUAAUUUAGGGGAACUUACCAGUAAUUGAUAACCACCAAGGUAAAGCAACUGUAGGUAAUUCUUGUAUGCCGUCGUCGUCAGGUAUCACAUAAAGUAAUAUCAGAACCAGAUAAUGCAAAAGACAGAUCAAGGUGCAGACAAUCCAACAGAUUAGGCGAGUUACAAUUUAUAUUAUUCACAGACACACCUUGUAAAAAUGUGCGAAGAAGGACUUAACAGUAAUAAGUACCAAUUAUCUCUUAUGAAGCGGUAAAAUUGUGCACAA